CUGACAUUCCUAUUUGCCAUUGUCCCGAACUCAACCUUCUUCUUCCUCCUAAUCACAUCAAAAUCUCUGGAAAAGAAGAUUUUAUUUUCUAUUCCAAUCAUUUUGUUAUCAAAAUAUCACAAGCCCGAACUCAGAUCCACCUUCUUCCUUCCUUGUAAUCACAAUUUCUGUAAAAUUCACAAGCUUUCUUUUUUUUUUUUUUAAUAGCGAUUUAAUUUGUAUGAACUUAAACAAGAUCAACAACAAAUGCAAUCCAAAACCCUAAAUUUACCUCCAGCUCUUACCCUUUUCCCAUUCCUUAAACCCCCGUCCAGAACCCUGAUUUUCUACCAAAUCUUCGUCCUAGUCAUCACCUUCUUCGCGUACGCCUCCUUCCAUGCCUCUCGAAAGCCGCCCAGUAUCGUCAAGAGCAUUCUUGGACCAACUGUUCAGUUAAAUUCUUCGAUAAUUCAAUCCAAUUUAAGCUCUAUGGAUACUGGUUGGCCUCCAUUCAAUGGUCCGGAGGGAACUCAUCGCCUUGGGGAGAUUGAUCUUGCUUUUCUUUCAGCUUAUUCGAUCGGGAUGUAUUUUGCGGGACAUGUUGGUGAUAGGAUUGAUUUGAGAUUGUUUCUUGUUUUUGGUAUGGUAGGUAGUGGUCUUUUCACUAUCAUUUUUGGGUUAGGGUAUUGGUUUGAUAUACAUUCGUUAGGAUUUUUUGUGGGUAUACAGAUUUUGUGUGGAUUGUUUCAGUCUAUAGGAUGGCCUUGUGUGGUGGCAGUUGUUGGGAAUUGGUUUGGGAAAGCAAAGAGAGGGUUGAUGAUGGGCGUUUGGAAUUCGCAUACUUCAGUAGGAAACAUUAUGGGGUCGGUUGUGGCUUCUGGUGUUUUGGAGUUUGGGUGGGCUUGGUCAUUUGAGGUGCCUGGGAUUUGUGUGAUUUUAGUUGGGGUUUUGGUGCUUUUGUUUCUUGUUGUUAGUCCUGAAGAUAUUGGAUUUGAGCCUCCAGGGAUAGAGAUUGAGAUGGUUGUGGAGGUGGAAGGAGCGGAUAACCUAGAGAAAGAGGAAUCAGAAAAAAGCAGGGCUUCUUGGGAUGGAAAAUUCAGAUUCUUUGGCUGCCAUUGGAUUUUUGGCAGCUUGGAGACUACCUGGAGUGGCGCCAUUUGCUUUCUGCCUCUUCUUUUCGAAGCUAGUGGCUUACACCUUUUUAUAUUGGUUGCCCUUCUACAUUAGGCACACUGCUGUUGCAGGUGUGCAUUUGUCACACAAAACUGCUGGCAUUCUCUCUACUUUAUUUGACAUUGGCGGAGUCUUUGGCGGAAUUUCGGCUGGAUACGUAUCUGAUAUGAUUGAAGCUCGUGCAGUAACUUCAAUUGUAUUCUUGUUGUUAUCAAUUCCAGCCCUUAUUUUGUACCGACUUUAUGGGAGCCUGUCUAUGAUUAUGAACAUAGCUUUGAUGCUUCUUUCUGGUUUGCUUGUGAAUGGUCCCUACUAACUAAUCACCACUGAUCUUCGUACCCAGGACAUGAUCAAGGGAGGAAAAGCAAAGAAAAAGAUUGUUCAGCCUUUCAAUUUUAAUUCAUCUGUACUUCCAUUUACUUUAAAAAUGAAUGAAGCAAUUAUGUUUUAAGGGAUUUAUAUACGCAAACAAAACUCUAGAGUAAAGUGCUAGUGAAGCUAUUUACCAUUGUUGAUUAGUUGUACUCUACAGGGGAAAAAAUUGAGCAUUACUCUUGCAACAGACGAUUGAUACUGUCAAGACCGGACCUUUCAACUGAUACCCUUGUCCUCUCUACAUGCGCUAGCGGCGGUGGCUCCAAGUGAAAGCUUAUCACAACAACUGUCAAAUUGUCUGUCGCCCCGCGUUUUGUUGCUUCCUCUACUAUUUCUUUACAACACAAUUUCACAUCAUUGUGCUCUCGAAGUCUUCUCCGAGCAAAGGAAACUGAAUUUUCGCUGGAAAACACAUCCCAUAUUCCAUCACUUCCGAUGAUCAAAAACUCGUCAUCCUUGGUUAGUGUAACCAAUUUAAGUUCUGGUUCAGCACUCAAGGGACCACCUCUAUCGCUCUUCACCUUCAUCCCUUCGAGGUGCCAGUCACCUAAUGCCCGACUAACACCUAACUGGCCAUUCAGAUAACCAUCUUCAACAUAUCCCCCCAGGGACUCAAUCCGGGUCCUUUCAUUAACACAGCAAGGCCUAUGGUCCUCUGACAUUUCUAUAGCUGUUCCACGCCGUGACAAUACAGCCCGGCAGUCACCAGCAUUUGCCACAAGCAAAGAACUCCCAAAUAUCAGUGCAGUGAUUGCAGUUGUGCCAGAAGAGAGGGAAGACUCAAGGGAGCAAGUCUCCGCAAAAGCUGUAUCAGUCUCAAUGAAUGACCUUGCGACCACUUUCUCAAGUUCUAAUGCGAAAUCUGCAUCCUCAACAAUAACUCUUGGCAAAUGAUCCCGGACAAAAUGAGCUGCACUCUUUCCCCCAUGCCCAUCAAAUACACCAUAGAAAGAAACAGAUUCCUCCCUAAGUAAAUUGUAACCAAAUUUCUUUGCCAAGUCACUAAUGCAAAUGUGUGUGUCCUCCAUAUAAAGCCGACCACCAAUGUCAGACCAUUCUCCUGACCGAAGGACAGGAAUAAAAUUUGUUGCAAGAUUCUGUUUCCUCUCCAGAGUCACUCGAUCCUCACAGAUGCUUUCUAGAGGAAAAGAGCUACAGACACUGAUCCCAUCACUGGAACUAAUCAAGGAAGAGUCUUUGUCCCAAUUAUCCAUCUGGGCAUGCAAGACCUCACAAUGCAAAGGCCAAGACUGCUUCUUGUUGAUGUUGGUAUUGCCAAGGCUUUCCACUUCUUGGUUAACCUGCUCAGCAUCCUCAACACACAUGAUUAUGAUGUUGAUAAAUAAUAGGAAAGAAAAGGCAAAGGCUUUUAGACUCUUUAACAGCAACUCCUUAUUGUUUAUGGGAAUCCAAAGUGAGGAAACAAGGGGAAAAUAGAGGGGGGGAGAGAGAGAAUCAGAGAACAAUAGUGACUUGGAGAGAAGAUUCUGGGAAUAUAAUGGGGUAGAUGGUGUACAGAAGGUGUAGCACAAGAAGAAAGAAGAAGAGCCGCUAAAUUUCAGAUUUUUC
rnacentral:misc_RNA from 1 species